UACGUAGGUGGCAAGCGUUAUCCGGAUUUAUUGGGUGUAAAGGGCGUGUAGGCGGGAGCGCAAGUCAGAUGUGAAAACUCAGGGCUCAACCCUGAGCCUGCAUUUGAAACUGUGUUUCUUGAGUGCUGGAGAGGCAAUCGGAAUUCCGUGUGUAGCGGUGAAAUGCGUAGAUAUACGGAGGAACACCGGUGGCGAAGGCGGAUUGCUGGACAGUAACUGACGCUGAGGCGCGAAAGCGUGGGGAGCAAACAGG
rnacentral:rRNA from 1 species